rnacentral:rRNA from 1 species
UACAGAGGGGGCAAGCGUUGUUCGGAAUUACUGGGCGUAAAGCGCGUGUAGGCGGGUCGGCAAGUCAGGCGUGAAAUCCCCAGGCUCAACCUGGGAACUGCGCUUGAAACUGCCGGUCUUGAGUGUCGGAGAGGGUGGCGGAAUUCCUGGUGUAGCGGUGAAAUGCGUAGAUAUCGGAAGGAACAUCAGUGGCGAAAGCGACUUCCUGGACCAAUACUGACGCUCAUGUGCGAAAGCGUGGGGAGCAAACAGG